GCAUAUUUUGGGAGGUGAAAGGAAUUUGGAGCACCCAGAGGGCGAGGGAUUACUAAACAUGUGUCUCAUACCUUGCUGUGGCUGUUAUCUCCGUAUCUUCCCAUGAUGUUGACCCGGUGGCAGUUCUUAUACCAGAACGCUCCCUUGUAUGACAGAGCACAGUUGGUGACAGCUAUGUCAUUAUCAUUGUCGUAGGUUGAGAAUGGACGGCCAUUGUGGUAUGUCAUUGAAUCACCUAAAAAAGGAUUUACCAAAAAGAAUGAUCAUAACGGACAUUUAUUAUUGUAAAGUGCACAAAAUUAAAUAUUAAUACAGCAUGAUUAGAAUGCAUUGACAAAACAGUCUACCACUUUAUCACUCUAGUAUAACCCAUGCAUUUUUGGGUUAGCAUUUUUUUUUACCUGCUGUACCGCUGUAGCCUCCAACGUGCACCUUAUAGCGGCUGCGUGGCUCCGACACUGAGAAUUUGUCGUACUGAGCGAAUGCGGAUUCUUCUUUGUCUUUAAGAUCCACUCGCAGCUCGUACUGGCCGAGAGAUGUAAUCUUGUGCAGGUUUGUUAGACCUACAAACAAUAAAAGUGUACAGUGAAUACAAA